rnacentral:tRNA from 2 species
GGAGAGGUGGCUGAGUGGUUGAAAGUACCGCACUCGAAAUGCGGCGUACUCGCAAGGGUACCGUGGGUUCGAAUCCCACCCUCUCCGCCA